CGUGAAGCCUAGAGUAUGUCAGAGAUUUCCAACAGAAAACAGAGCAAAUGGAUCUCUGCCUGCUGGCAUUGAAUUUUUUUGUCGUUCACAAGGAUGGUGUCUGACCAGCCACCCUCCUCCUCCCUCUUUCAAUAACUUUAUCCUCACGAGUGAACUCGGUAGCCAUUUUUAUUGCUGCUCUCUCAAUUUCCAUCAGUGCAGCCUCAAGAUGGCUGCCAGACAGAAGCAAAGAGAACAGCAGGAGAGAGGAAGCUCAUUAAGGAGAAGUGAGUUGCUAACACGUUACAAUUUUGGCACUUGCUUCAUGUAUGCAUGUAUGCAUCAUACUGAGAGAGGGAAAGAAAGAUAGUAUGGUGGUGGGUGUGGAGGGUUAAAAUUAAAGUGCUACGAAGAGCACAUUUAAAAGAGAGCAUGGAUAGAACAGAGAACAAUACAUGAACAGGGUCAUGAAACACAAUGAUAAUGUGUGUUAAUAUUAUUAAAUGUUGUGUCUUUGAAUGAUUUUGAUCAAACAAAGGUCAUUAUGCUGUUACCUUGAGUGAAGAUACACUUCUGAUACUUGUACUAAUGGCUGGACUAGUAAGUACCUAGUGAUAGGAGAGGAGAUGAUAAAAUCACGCAUACACACACCCCCACCACACCGGCAGCUUAUCAUUGUACACAAGGCCCCGGACAAAGAACGUUUAAAAACAUGAUAGGAGAGCUACAGCUACUGCCCAUAGCUUCCACUGACCUUUUUCAGUCUUAAAGGAAACCUUAACAGAGCCAUCAGCAACUUGUUUCUCUAUUUCUUCCUUUCUUUGCUUCGAUCUAACCAAAUGAGACUGGUGUCGACUGUCGAGUUUCAACUUUCGAUGGUUUUACGGGAGUAUCCUGAGUUUUAGGUCCCUAGUAUAAAGCUUAAUUAAUUGAUCUAAUUAAAUAUUCAUUGUUUGAAAAUGGUAGUGAGGCUGCAGUGUAAGACUGGACGUUUCAUUUUGUCCAAUAUAAAGUCCUCCACUACACUGAAGGACCUGCAGGCUGCCAUCAAAGAUAAAACAGAUGUACCACCUGAGCAACAAAAAAUUUUAAUUCUGCAGUAUUGCACAGUUAUCCUCCGAAAGAGAUCGAGUCAUAUGACAGCAAGUUAACAAUGGCUGACAUUGGCAUCAAGGAUGGAGACACUGUCACUCUGCAAGAGCUACAGCAACCAAGAGGACACCGACCAAAAAAACAACGACAACCAGUUGCUCAGUUAGAAGCAGAUAAAGAUGUAUUAAUUACUGGAGAGAGUAAAGUUAUUAGUAAUAACACAUCAUCAGGUCCUCAAUCAUCAUCUUCAUCAUCAUCAUCAGUAUCUACAGCAAUAGGAGAACUGAGACGAAAAGUUGUCCCGGCAGAUAAUUCCUGUCUUUUUGCAAGUGUAAAGUUAGUCCACAUAGUUCAAUACUUCUUUAAGUACUAGUGUCAUGUUAUCACCCCAAUUUUUAUUACAUUUUC